AGAAGGCAGGAACACACUGCGUGUCCAACAGGGAGGCACUGGUGGGUGCUUUAGGACAGCUCUCCCACUCGCCUGCUGCACAGAUGAGGGGCCACAGGGAACAGGCCAGACCUCACCAGGCUUUCCUGUGUCUCAUCUGGGAUUCAUCAUGGAGGAAGAAAUCUUACAAUCAACAGCUGUUCACAACCAGAAUUACAGGAGAGAACGCCACGUUGCUCACUGAGAGGAUGCAGUGCUACCUUCUUUUUAUUGUACCACUUUUCAACCACUGGAUGAUGCUGGAUGGAAACAGGAGAAAUUCCAAGACUUCUUUGUCACUGACAGUAAAUGUAACCUAAGCAAAAGAAGUCCUGCCAAUUUCUGCAUGUUUUAAAGUACACCAACAUAUUGCUGUAAAACAUUUAUCAGAGAAAAGAAAAGAAACAGAAUAUAUGGAUAGUAACUUCUAGUUAAUUUACCAUGUUUUAACCUCUCACUUUUAUUGUACAACUGUUAAAAAGAGUUUUAAUGUUACUAGGGCCUUUUCUUUUAAUUAGCUGUUUUAAGUAUCUUCUUUUUCCAAGUUGGUAAAUUUUUUUUUAUUGUCAAUCUAGUUCCUUACUUCCUUGUACUGCAGUGAGGAUUAAAACUUGUAACAGAGACUGCCUUGUUUGAGGCUUUGUUGGAGACAGUGCAAUGGGCCUGUGCUGAUGACAUGGGGCUGUGCUCUGCACGCUGCUGUAACACGUGCUGUGUCAUUGCCCUUUUCACAGGUGGAGCUGAUGUGCGUAUACUUUACCCUGUGAUAAAAAACUAAUGUUGCCUUCCUUAACUGAAAGAGUAUUACUUCCUAGCAAAAGGGAACACUUUCUUCUUGUUUAUAAAAGUGUUAUAGGAAUGUCCUUAGUUAAAAACAGAAAAGCUGAACUUAUGAAAAUAUGGCAUGCUUUUCAAGGAAAAUUACUUUUUCAAAUUCAGCUUCCUCGAUUUGCUGAGAAUUUUCAUGAAAAGGCUACUGAAAUGGGAGACAAGAAAUCAUUUUUCACGCUGAUGGAAACAGAUACUUGCACAGUUGUGCUUCCCAAAGGAACUGGACAAGACAGUGUUUAAGCACUUCCUAACAGUAUGUAAGAGAUUGUUGUGGAACAAGACUAAACUUAAGGGAAAGGUGUGUUACGGAAUGGAAAGGGAAAGAUUUAUCUUUCUAACCAAAAAAUUAAACCUUUCCAGAUACCUGUCACUUUGGUAACCUCCUGGAAGACAACUCCUGAGAGCACUGAGAUAAGAACCUCUGAACAGAAAUGUACUGUUAAUACCAUUCUUGCAAUGGAAAUGACAUUAAGUAAAAUGAGUUCUCGUAGGCAGGAUAUUGUUCAAAAUAAAAGUAUUAUUCUUUCUAGUUGGUGCUUGGCAGUAUAGUGAAAUUUAUUAGAACAGUUUCCAGUGUGGAUAUUCUUCUAUAAUAAAAAUGAUUUCUUUUUGAAUAAUGA